AAAAAAAUUUCAAAUAUAAGUUAGUUAUAAACUCAACUUCAAAUAAAUUUCGUAAGCAAAUUAAUUGCAAACGUAUUUACAUUUCGAUGCGUAAUCGUUAAAUGAGCUGCGGUUUUGGCGGCCACAUUCCAGGACAAUCGAUAGGGAUAUAUAUUAUAGGAAUAAUAUUUGCAAGCGGCAGCUGUUGGCAGCAUGGCCCAUUUGUUGGCGACAAAACAAACUGCCAAAUAAUUCGAUUCGAACGCUUAAAGUUGCAUUUUACUGGGACCGAAACCUGUGCUUGGACCUUGGCCAACUGGCUGCCCAACUUUGGCAAAUUGAAUAAAACGGAUGAAAAAGAAACAAGAAAGGUCUACUUGGAAUUGACUGACUGGUAGAUACGCUAAGUGCUUCUUCUUUCCUUGGCGCCAACAAAGCUUGCUUUUCUUUAGAGGAAACGAGGAGAGGAGAGUCAGAAUACAACAUUUGAUAUCUCUAGCUAUAUUGAGAAACAGGAUUUCGAGAUAGGUCUUUAUUGAUUUCUUGGAAUAUGGACAAGUUAUCGAUUACUGGAAAUAAAAUCAAUAUGCACGUAGUAUAUGAGAACUUCUAGUCUAAGUCUCUAGCUGGUAUAUCCCGAGAUCGACGCGUUUGGAGAAGGACGGGUAGACAGGAAGAGGGAUCGAUUUUGAGGUUGAUGCUGAAGAUGAAUAUAUAUACUUUAUGUUACAAACAUGACCACAAAACAGUUAUACCCCUGUUUAUCUUUUACCACAUUCAGGGUACAAAAACCUAAUUUGCCAACUAUUUGGCCAACUAGCGCGAUAAAUCCCCAAAAAGUUAUCAGCGUUAAUUUUGUUUAUGCAGCUUUCUUGUAAAAUUAAUAAAAGCGACUUGCGCGAAAAGUUGGGUUCAUAAA